rnacentral:rRNA from 1 species
ACGGAAGGCAGCAGUGGGGAAUAUUGGACAAUGGGGGAAACCCUGAUCCAGCGACGCCGCGUGAGUGAAGAAGUAUUUCGGUAUGUAAAGCUCUAUCAGCAAGGAAGAAAAUGACGGUACUUGACUAAGAAGCCCCGGCUAACUACGUGCCAGCAGCCGCGGUAAUACGUAGGGGGCAAGCGUUAUCCGGAUUUACUGGGUGUAAAGGGAGCGUAGACGGUAUGGCAAGUCUGAAGUGAAAUGCAUGGGCUCAACCCAUGAACUGCUUUGGAAACUGUCAAACUAGGGUGCAGGAGAGGUAAGUGGAAUUCCUAGUGUAGCGGUGAAAUGCGUAGAUAUUAGGAAGAACACCAGUGGCGAAGGCGGUUAGCUGGACAAUAACUGACGCUGAGGCGCGAAAGCGUGGGUAGCAAACAGGAUUAGAUACCCUGGUA